AGGAAUACAUGCUUUAGAUUAAGAAGAUGAUGGAGAGAAAUCACUCGUAAAAGCCCCUAAUUGAUCUUUUAGAUAAAACCCUAGCCUUUCUUUACCCAAGAUCUUAGAGAGAAUUAGAGAGAGUUUCUAAGUGUUUAAGAUUAGAAUAAUAGGGUAAAUGAUGUCCCAAUAGUGAUAUAAGUCGUGGGUCCUUAAGAGGUUAAGUGGGGAAAUGUCUAGAUCACCCCCAACUAAAACUGGUUAAAAUUCUCGUCAGAUGGUACGACUCCCUCAUACCAGUCGUGCCCUUCCAUACGAGUGGUACCCACUACUCUUACACUAGGCCUCUCCCUUAGACCC
rnacentral:lncRNA from 1 species